CCCCUUAGAGUUUGAUCAUGGCUCAGAUUGAACGCUGGCGGCAUGCCUUACACAUGCAAGUCGAACGGUAACAGGUCUUCGGAUGCUGACGAGUGGCGAACGGGUGAGUAAUACAUCGGAACGUGCCCGAUCGUGGGGGAUAACGCAGCGAAAGCUGUGCUAAUACCGCAUACGAUCUACGGAUGAAAGCGGGGGAUCGCAAGACCUCGCGCGGACGGAGCGGCCGAUGGCAUAUUAGGUAGUUGGUGGGAUAAAAGCUUACCAAGCCGACGAUCUGUAGCUGGUCUGAGAGGACGACCAGCCACACUGGGACUGAGACACGGCCCACACUCCUACGGGAGGCAGCAGUGGGGAAUUUUGGACAAUGGGCGCAAGCCUGAUCCAGCCAUGCCGCGUGCAGGAUGAAGGCCUUCGGGUUGUAAACUGCUUUUGUACGGAACAAAAAACCUCUCUCUAAUACGGGGGGUGAAUGACGGUACCGUAAGAAUAAGCACCGGCUAACUACGUGCCAGCAGCCGCGGUAAUACGUAGGGUGCAAGCGUUAAUCGGAAUUACUGGGCGUAAAGCGUGCGCAGGCGGUUAUAUAAGACAGAGGUGAACUCCCCGGGCUCAACCUGAGAACUGCCUUUGUGACUGCAUAGCUGGAGUGCGGCAGAGGGGGAUGGAAUUCCGCGUGUAGCAGUGAAAUGCGUAGAUAUGCGGAGGAACACCGAUGGCGAACGCAAUCCCCCUGGGCCUGCACUGACGCUCAUGCACGAGAGCGUGGAGAGCAAACAGGAUUAGAUACCCCUGUAGUCCCACGCCCUAACGAUGUCCAACUGGGUGGUUGCGUCUUCACUGACUCAGUAACGAGCUACGCGUGAGUCGACCCGCCUGGAGAGUACCGGCCGCAGGUUAAACUCAAGUAUGACGCACCGCCACGGGAGGAAUGAGUGUUUUAAUUCGGAUGGCACGCGUACA
rnacentral:rRNA from 1 species